AUACUUACCUGGCAGGGGAGAUACCAUCAUUAUGAAGGUGGUUUUCCCAAGGCAAGGUUUAUCCAUUGCAUUCCGGAUGUGCUGACCCCUGCGAUUUCCCCAAAUGCGUGAGAAACUCAGUUGCAUAAUUUGUGGUAGUGGGGGACUGAGAAAAAAACAUUUCUUUU
rfam:Myotis lucifugus cont2.16114, whole genome shotgun sequence.